rnacentral:tRNA from 1 species
AUAUAAGAAGUAAAAUUUACUUUUAAUUUCGACUUAAAGAUUGAUUUAUUUAAAUAAAUCCUUAUAUU